AAUGCAAUUAGAACACAGAGUUAUGGCAAUGGAUACAAGUGAUUGCACUCCAGGUACAAAAGCAUAUUGGAAGUCGAAAAGAAAAGAGAUACAAAGGAAACAAAUCGCAAAAGACUUAUUUGAAAGUUCUUCAGCCCAUUUAGACGACGACGGAUUUAAUCCGUUUGAUUGAUCUCCCUUGUUUGAUUUAUAUGGGUACUCUUUUCCUUGUGUCGGCCCACAAGGUUUUUGACGAGGCCCAUUCGUUAUUUC
rnacentral:lncRNA from 1 species